rnacentral:rRNA from 1 species
UACGAAGGGGGCUAGCGUUGCUCGGAAUGACUGGGCGUAAAGGGCGCGUAGGCGGAUGGUACAGUCAGAUGUGAAAUUCCCGGGCUUAACCUGGGGGCUGCAUUUGAUACGUGCGAUCUGGAGUGAGGAAGAGGGUCGUGGAAUUCCCAGUGUAGAGGUGAAAUUCGUAGAUAUUGGGAAGAACACCGGUGGCGAAGGCGGCGACCUGGUCCUUGACUGACGCUCAGGCACGAAAGCGUGGGGAGCAAACAGG